CGGAGGGUGCAAGCGUUGCUCGGAUUUAUUGGGCGUAAAGGGCAGGUAGGUGGUCUCAUUUGUCUGGGGUGAAAGCCUUGAGCUUAACUCAAGAAGUGCCUCAGAAACGGUGAGACUGGAGUCCUAGAGAGGGUCGUGGAAUUCCCGGUGUAGCGGUGAAAUGCGUGGAGAUCGGGAGGAACACCAGAGGCGAAAGCGGCGACCUGGAUAGGUACUGACACUCAACUGCGAAAGCGUGGGGAGCAAACAGGAUUAGAUACCCUGGUAGUCCACGCUGUAAACGAUGGGUACUAGAUUUGGUGGGUCUUGACCCCCGCCGAGUCGGAGCUAACGCACUAAGUACCCCGCCUGGGAAGUACGGUCGCAAGACUA
rnacentral:rRNA from 1 species